rnacentral:misc_RNA from 1 species
AAGUCGUAACAAGGUUUCCGUAGGUGAACCUGCGGAAGGAUCAUUACCAAAUCCAAAAUCCUUCAACCCCUUGUGAACUAUGAUUUAAUUUAUUGUUUGUCUUUGGGGAGUGUAAUUGAAAUAAAAUUUUGUUUGAAAGAAUAGAAUUUUAUUUAGUAUUUACUCCCCAAAAGAGUUUCCUCCUUCCACUUUCGGGUGGUAGGGAAAAAAAACUCACCAUGUUUAAACUACUUUUUAUAACCUUUUUUUUGGAAUGCUUUUAUUUUUACUAAUAAAAGACAACUUUUAACGGUGGAUCUCUUGGCUCGU